rnacentral:lncRNA from 1 species
GGCCUCAGUAUGCUUAUCAAGGCCUUGGCUGAGCUGUGCUCGCUCCAGAGCUCCAACCUCACAACACUGCAGCUCUCUGUCCAUGAAGAGUUCCUUUCAAUCCUUUUGUCACUUUGCUAAGGCCAUCUUUUGAAACUUGACUCUGGUCGUCCUGGUUCGUUUGUACCACUUAGAAUAACAUGCACUAGAGUUGAAUGUCUCAAACUUAGGGCAUCAGAAUCACCGGGGAUCUUGACAGACUGUGGGUCUUAGCAGGUCUGGGUUGGUGCCCAGGGUUCUGAAUAUUUAGCAAACUCUCAGGUGAUACUUUAGGGUAGGAAAUACUCUGGCAAAUUCCUUAAACUCAGAGCCUUCUCUGAAGCUGGAUUCCUCUGAGAAUUAAGUGGGAGAAUGUUUGUAAGGGAGUGUUUUAAAAGCCGUUGUUUCCUGCGUUCCCUGACCGUCUCCACUCCCCAGUGGUGCACCUUCCCUGUCUGUGCUUACCCAUCGCUAGCAGGGCUCCUGGCAUCUCCUAGGGCCUUAAUGUUUGUUUAGUGGUGAGGGAAUGACCCGUGGAGGAAUUAACUGGGUUUUUGUGUUACUCAGAUGAACAUAAAAUUAAGACUGCCACUUUUGUUUUUUCCUUCUUUAGGAAUGCUUUAAGAUGACCAUUAAAUCUAAGCCCUAAGUGACAGACCCAGGUGUUGGACUCUGAGCUCAUUUCUGUAUACUUCGUCCUGUGGCCGUUAACUGUAGGCUCUAUUGCCAGAAGUCAACACUCAUUGACCAUUUUCAAGUACAACUUUGUAGACUAUUUCCAGUAGUUUUUUGUUGAAAACCAUUUCUUGUAGCAAGUGUCAAAUGGUAAUUCUUGUGAACUAUUUGAAAGUAUUGAUACUGCGUUUGGUUUAAGGAGAAAUUAGAAGUGAUCAGAACAGUGGUUCUCAAAACUUGUGGGAUUUGCUCUCACCUGGAGAACUUUUUAAAAGGAGGAUUCCCUUCUGUUGAUUUGCUGUCCUUUGGUACUCCAAACUAGAACCUGAUUGGAUGGCCAAGAAGUCAGGCCUGUGCAUCUUGUUAAAGUGAAGACCUUAACACCAGCGGCAGGCAGCAGCUGUGCUGUUUCGCUGUAGAUAAUUUGAGGAGGCCCCUAAGGCUGGGCAUUAAUCUGCUCAGUGCUUCUCCCACACAGGUAAGGCAAGCUUUGAAUAGGUACCAGAAACCAUUGUUUCCUGUCCUUGAGCAUUUGCUUUUGAAGGAAGGGUUUUAAUUGCUGAUUCUGCAAGUGUUCUGUGUAUAUUUAGUAUAAAAGUAAAAAAACUUAGUCGUUGUUUUAUUAAGUUUGUGAAAACAAAACACCAAAUUUGAACCAACAUACAACAUAUAGCAAAAAGUACACGAAAACAUCUUUGAAAGAAAGAAACAGAUAGGUUUCUAGACCAGUCCCAGACUGCCCGUGGCUGAGCUUUCUCCGUCUUAACUUGGGUUGGCUGUAAACUUGAAGGAUGGGUUGGAUCAAUGUUCGCACAGGCCUCACUGUUUUUCCUAGCCAGGUGUCUACUGUUAUUUAAUGUUUGUCUUUAGACUGCUUCCAGUUUUUGUUUUUUUGUUGCUGUUUUAUUACCAACAAAGCUGCAAGGAAUGUCUUUGUGCAUUUAUCUUCACGUACUUGUGUUUCCUUAGGAUAAAUUUUAAGAGGUAGAAUUACUGUGUCAAAGUGAUGUAAGGGUAGAUAGAUAGUACCAAUUUGCCUCCAAAAUAUUGUAGUUAUCUACUCCAACCAGUGUUGAGAGGAAACUCCUAUUUCGGGAACUGUCUCAUAAUUGUCAUUUUAUUAGCAUUUACCCCAGCCCCUAACUUGCUAACAGUGUUGCACAUAGUCAUUAACUUUUUAGAAAUAUUAAUGUGAAUUAAGUGGUUUUAAACUGGAUAAUUUCCACUUUCUACUUCUUAAAAUUCUACAGUCAAGAUGUACAGGAUUGUUCCAGCUUAUCAGUACAGAACUGAAAUCAUUCAAGUUCACACACUCCCACCCAGCCUUGUGCUACUAAUUUGUGAAUGGAAAGAUACUCCUCCUUCAACACACUAUACCACCAGGUGCCAGAAACUUGUGAACUAUAAAUCAAUGACUAGGCAAUGACUGCCCCCAUGCCAGGUUUGUGCAAAGAACUCGCAUAAUUGUAAGCACAGCCCUGCGCUGCUUCUGUGGUUCUUAAUUAUGGUCUACUAUCAUUGGAAAAUACAAAGUAGUAAUCCUAAAAUGAUAAUUAACAUUUAUUGAGCACUUAUGUGUCAGGUACUAUUGACUUUCAGUCUAACUACCCUUUCUAACAAACACUACUAUGCUGACUUUACCCAAGAGGAAACUGAUGCACAGAGAGGUCAAGGAAUCUUGUCAGUGCCAUUCAAAUCAUUCAGAAUGCCUCUAAUGCCAGUACUGUAUUCUGAAAAGUGCAAGCUACUCUAUGUUGAAACUUUUUUUUGUGUGUGUGUGAGGAAGAGUGACCCUAAGCUAACAUCUGUGCCAAUCCUCCUCUACUUAGUAUAUGGGAUGCUGCCUCAGCUUGGCUUGAUGAACAGUGUGUAGGUUCAUGCCUGGGAUCUGAACCUGCAAACCCCGGGGCUGCCAGAGUGGAGUGUGUGAAUUUAACCACUAGGCCAGCUCCUGGAACAUUUCUUAAUAGCAUAAUAAAGAUAAUUGGAACCUUGUGGAAACAUGUGGUGGGUAUAUGGAUAUUCAUCCUAUUAUUUUCUUUAUGUGCUUGAAAAGAUCUUAUUUAAGUCUUAUUUUUUAAAGUAAUAACAUGCUAUUUUUAACUCUGAGUUCUUUAUCUCUGAAAACUAAGUUAAAGCUUGACAACAUUCUUGGUCAACCAGCAUUUGGGGACCCCACUCUGGGCCAGGAGAACUCAAGGAAGCAGAAGCUGCCGCAGCUGCAGCCCUCAGGGAGUUCACGAGGUGGGGCUCAAAGCUCAGCUCCUGAUGCAGGAGGUCCUGUUCUCGGAGUCCUUUCUUGCUUGAGGAAGGGGGAAUGUGGGGAUGCACCAAGCGGGGAUCCCCAUAGGAGAUAAGCAGUACGGAAAUGAUGAAGACAAAAGUGCAAAGUGGAAUUUGAGUUUAUGGGGGAGAAAUCUCUCUCCCUUGCUCUCUUAACCACAAGAUACCACACAGUGAAGAAAACAAGAAACAGUAGCAGAGAAAUGCCCAUUGGCAGAUUAACAGAGUUGACGAGCAAAGAGUGAUGGAUUCCAGGGCAGAAGUCAGUGGAGAGCAGCUGGUGUAACCUUGGACACCAUCCUAGAGGAAGUCUUGGUAACAGCCACAUUUUCAAAGAGAUCAUGAGGAGUGCAUGAUUUUGUUAGCCUUGUGGUUUCACCAGCGUGAUCACCAGGCCUUUUCUGGGAAAGAACACAGUGGGAAGUGGAAACUGUAAAUGGACACGCUCCUUGGGAGUCCUCAGUCCCCCACACAGGCCCCCCUGUCAGCCCCUGACUAGUCUUCACACUUCAGGCUAGGAAAUCACCCCACGGUUUUGAAGGUAUUGAGGUCUCGUCCCCAUUUUAUAGCAGAACGAGAAUCAGAGCAGGAUUAUGACAGAAUUCUAACUCCAGCUUCCACCUGUUUAAUAUAUCAGAGAAACGUGAUGUUGGUGAAAUGCCAGAUUGGAAACCAAAGGCUUGUGGGUGGCCCAGCAGCACCACAGCCAGAAGGAGACUCCAAACUGGGCUAGAAGAGAGAAACAAUUGGUAAGGCCAAGGAGACCAUAGUCGGAGUCGGGUCUGAGGACGAAGAGAGUCCCCACAUGGGAAAAAAGUCCUGGGGUCAGAAUGGAAAUGAGUGGACAAGAAACAAAGUGGGAGGAGGUGAGAGCAAGCAAUUUUGGCGAGGUGCCGCGAGCAGCAUCUCCUGGGCCUCCUUCCCACACGGAUAGUACACGCGCCUCAGAACUCACAGCGCCCACGAUCCUACCACUCAGAGAGUCCAGCCAGGACACCACUUCCCGUGUAAUCAUCUUGUCUCUUGAGGCUCCUCUCCGCUGUCACCGUUUCUCAAAUUUUCCUUGUUUUUUGAAGACCUUGACAGUUUUGAGGCAUACUGGUCAGACAUUUGUAAAAUCUCCCUCAAAUUAGGAUUGUCUGGUGGCUUCCUCUCGGUUAGAUUGGAGUUGUGGGUUUUGGACAGCGUCCCUCGGAGGUGAGGUGCCCUUCUCAUCGCGUCGAGGUGGAUGGCGGUGCAAGACCUCCCUGGGGAAGUUGACCUCCAUCACUGGGUAGUGCAGUUUGCAGCGUCCUCCCCUAUCAAGCUGGAAUCCAUUUUCCAGGCUCAGGACUGUUAGGUGUGGCCAUGUGACUGUAUUCUGGCCAACGGCAUGUGAGCAGAGUAGCAGGCACGACUUCUAGGUCCCUGAAGACCUCCCAAGCACAAUCCUCACUCUCUGCCAUCGGUUCUCCUGCUGAAGGGAGAGGACUUUAAGGAGAAAAAAAGGAUGGAGCCACAAGGCAGAAAAGGCCUGGGCCCCUGAGUGAUUAUGUGGAGCAGGGCCCCUUCCCCACCUUUCCUACCUCCUUCUCCUCCCCCUCUUUCCUUCCUCUCUCUCUUCUUUCCUACUUCUUCCUUUCUCUUUUCCUUCCUCUCCUCAGUCCUUCCACCAACUCACAAUGGACUGUAAACGAGAAAUAAGCUCUUGUUAUGUUAAACUACUGGCCUUUUGGGUUUAUUUAUUACAACAGCUGGAGUUAUUUGCUUAUCUAACACACAAUGGAGUGUACCUUAGGGGGUAUUUCCCAAACUGAGAUGUCCUACUCCUUUGAGAAACUUUCUCCUGCACAAAUGGGAGUGGGCCUGAACUGUGAAGAAUUAACCUCACCCAAACAGAAGUCUGGUCUUUGCUCUCAGCUACUGGGAGGUGAUCUCCAGGCGUGGAAUGUCCCAUCUGAUGUGAGCGUCCUUGUUUUCCUGGGGUUUUAGCUACUGGACCGUCUAACAGUGUGAUUUAUGAUGAGGGCUUUGGGCCACACGGUAUCAGUUCUGACCUCUGGACUGAAUGGAGACAAAAGAUAUGAGCCCAGCCUCUGGAAGCCAUGGAGACUAAAGGUCAGCCGCACUGGCAGCAUGUCAUGGAGCCCCAGUAAAAACUGGGAGAAGGUUGCCCAUCCACGACUUCACAGGUCACGACCAGAAGCCCCAUAUUUGAACCUCCCUGGACUCUGCCCUACGUGUGUCUUCCCUUGGCUGGUUCCAGUUUGUAGCCAUUCUCUGUAAUAAAACUCACCUGGGAGUGUAUUAGUUUUCAGUGAGUUCUGUGAGUCUUUCUAUUAUUAUUAUUAGCCUUAGGGUGGUUUUGGGAAACUCUGGACUUGCGGUUGCUGUCAGCAGUGAGGACAGUCUUGUGGGGACUCACGGUCUGGGGGACCCUAGGCCAAGCUCUACCGUUAAAUUUAGACUUUGUGACCCUCCGCCUUGGCCAUGGCUUAUUGGACCAGCGGUAGGUGAACACCUGACCCAACAUACGCCAAUCAGAUUCUUUCUUCUGGAAAUUUCGACUAAGAUCUAGUUAGUUUCUGUUAGGUGCUUGAACCAGAAUGUUAGGUAAAUUAAAAUGUAUCUGGUGACUCUCUUCAGUAAGAGCGCAGAGAGGCAGAAGAAGGUAUGGAAAUACAGAGAAAUUAAACAGAGGAGAGACCACAUGGCUCCAGAGAGAUGCAGAGAGAGCAUGAUGGACCAAGUAGCUGUCUUGAUUCCUGACAUCUUUCCAGUUCCUGGUUCCAGUCCCUCCUGAGAUGUUUCCUCGCGGUCUUCAGGCACUUGGUGUUGAAGAGGAGAAGCAUGACGAUGUUUGAUUCCUUUUCUCUGAGCACAGGAGAUGCUGAUCGCGUCGGCAUGGAGACAGCUGAGUGAGAGACACUGGAGCAGAGCAGAGCCCGCUGGGCAGAGCACUGGCCAAGCCUCCUCCACAAUGCAACUGAUAGAGUCUCCGUUUGAAGGAUCCCUCAGAAAUUACAGGUUUAGAAAAUAUCGUUGCUUUUACAAAUAAUCAGAAAGGCACUGAUUUCAGAAGCCACCAUACAUCUCAGCCAGAUGUGCAUGGUCUAAGAACAGAACACACGGGAGAAAAUCAGCGUUGGACUACACAAGAAGACAAACUAAAACAGAAAACACAACUUAGCCGUUUGCAGCUAAGGGUUUCACUGCUUCUAUAAUGAAGAGGAGAUGCAAAUAAAUAUCAGAACCUUGCGCAUAUCAUUUAUGGUUUGUUGCCUAUAGACAUGCUCGUGCUGACCGCAUAGGGGAGCUGUUUUAUCCUGUGGGUUUCAGCCACUUGGUUAGUGGUUUUUCUCUCUUCAUGACGUCUUGCCCUAAGGAAGCACUCCCGUUCCAGCUAAACAUGUGGAUCUGGUGGAACCCACCGGGGACAUUUAAAAUUCCAGCGGCCAAAUGGCUUAUUUACAAAGGGCUUGAGGAGGCUUACAUGAAUGAUAUAAUAAAAUAAAAUAGAAAAAC